rnacentral:ribozyme from 14 species
UUUCUUCUUUUUUACUGUUAUAUAUUAUAUAUUCUUCUUCAUUUUCUUUAUGGUGUCAGAGUGUUAGAGUAAUUUAAGAGAAGGACACUAGGACCUUCGACGAGAAGAAAA